UCCGGCUUGACGCCGGCAGUCCCCCGAGAGUCCUCAGCAUGACCUGGUAGUAACACGGGGCAAGGGUUGCGCUCGUUGCGGGACUUAACCCAACAUCUCACGACACGAGCUGACGACAGCCAUGCAGCACCUGUGCUGGGGUCCCGAAGGAGGGCCCCACUUUCAUGAGGCUUGCCCCAGCAUGUCAAGCCCAGGUAAGGUUCUUCGCGUUGCGUCGAAUUAAACAACAUGCUCCGCUGCUUGUGCGGGCCCCCGCCAAUUCCUUUGAGUUUUAGCCUUGCGGCCGUACUCCCCAGGCGGGGCACUUAAUGCGUUAGCUCCGGCACGGAGGGAGUCGACACCCCCCACACCUAGUGCCCAUCGUUUACAGCGUGGACUAC
rnacentral:misc_RNA from 1 species